rnacentral:rRNA from 1 species
GUAGAGCAAGGAGGAAAAUCGGACUUAGUGAUCCGGUGGUUCUGCGUGGAAGGGCCAUCGCUCAACGGAUAAAAGCUACCCUGGGGAUAACAGGCUUAUCUCCCCCAAGAGUCCACAUCGACGGGGAGGUUUGGCACCUCGAUGUCGGCUCAUCACAUCCUGGGGCUGUAGUAGGUCCCAAGGGUUGGGCUGUUCGCCCAUUAAAGUGGUACGCGAGCUGGGUUCAGAACGUCGUGAGACAGUUCGGUCCCUAUCCGUCGCAGGCGUAGGAAAUUUGAGAAGACCUGUCCUUAGUACGAGAGGACCGGGAUGGACGUACCUCUGGUGUACCAGUUGUCCUGCCAAGGGCAUGGCUGGGUAGCUAUGUGCGGAAUGGAUAAGCGCUGAAAGCAUCUAAGCGCGAAGCCAACUUCAAGAUAAGAUUUCCCACCGCAAGGGUAAGACCCCAGAAAGACUAUCUGGUUGAUAGGUCGAAGGUGUAAGUGCAGCAAUGUAUUUAGCUUAUCGAUACUAAUAGGUCGAGGACUUGACCAAU